rnacentral:pre_miRNA from 10 species
CCAGCUCUAGCCCGGUGGCGUUAAAAUCUCGCUGGGGCCUCCAACUGUUGUAGCCAAGCGAGUUAGAAAAACGCCACACUUUGAGACGAAUUAAGAGUCCUUUAUUAG